GGAUGGCUUCCUCAGGCCUCCCACUUUAACGAUAAAAUUCAGUUGUACCUAUUGUAAAAAUACACCUUCGGUAUGUCUCGUAAAACUGCGUGCACGCGGUCUCUGCAAGCUGUAGCGUGAAAGGGUAAAUGGUUCUUAUGCUGGUGAAUAAAAAUAUGGUGAGACAUGGACGAGGGGGAGGCGGGAGAAAUGAUGGAGUGAGAGGGAUGCAUGAUCGGUUGCUAUUGGACGGUGGCACGUGUGGCUGUGGCACCUGCCAUGGGCAUCUUUUCAAGGAGUCCUUUGUCGCUGUUAGCCGACCGGGCAGCCGUGUGCCCAGGUAGGAAAUGCCAAUGUCCACGAAACGGGCCAGGUCUGGCACGAGACUGGCUUGCCAGAUCUGGGCCACCAAGCUUGGCCCGAGGCAUGGCCAGACCGGCAAAGAGCAUGGCUUGCCAGGCUUGGGUCACUAAGCUUGGCCCGUGGUAUGGCCAGACUGGCAAAGAGCACGGUUUGCCGGGCUUGGGCAACCACGCUUGACCCGAGGUAUGGCCAGACUGGUAAAGAGCAUGGCUUGCCAGGCUUGGGUCACCAAGCUUGCCCCGAGACAUGGCCAGGCAGACAAGGGGCAUGGUUUGCCAGGCUUGGGUCCCAUAUGGAACAGCAUUCCAAAAAUUGAAUUCUCAUGGGGAAUGUUCCUUCACUAAAUUUUUCGUCCUUUGAUUCUCCUUCUUCCGAAGGUACCAUUAUUUCUUCUGAACAUACUAUUUCAGGGGAAAAUAUGCGUGGAUAUCACCGUAUACCACACAUUCUAUGACAACAGCCCGUAAGAUGGCGUGUUGAGUAGUCUGAUUGUGGCAGUAGACAUGAGUGUCGUGUGCGGCAAUUUAUUAUUUUAAUAUUACUCUUUUACUAUUGUAAUAUGUCUCAGAGUUCAUAUUCACGGGUUAAAAAAUACAGACAUUUUCAUCAACUGAAGAAAAAAGAAUCUGUAAACGUAGAAGGCGCUAAAGAAAAAACUCCGGAUUACAGUGAACGCAAUAAUGCCGAUGAGGAAGAGGUUAGUUUGCCAACAGCCAAUGAAAUAACUAUCCGUAGUGGAUCUAUUGUGGAUCAAAUUAGUGGAGAUGUCGAUGUUCGACAUCUCGAUGAUAAUGCUAGUGCUUGUGGUGAUAGUUGGUCGGGUGGUGAUGGUGAUUGUGGCUCGUAUAAGCAUCUUAAUGAUUGCAUCAGUGAAUCCAAUAGCAGCGUUGGAGACAGGGAUGAACCAAUUCUUGGGGGCUCAGGUUGUGAUGGUGAUUCAGAUGACAUUGACAAUGAUUUCAACAAAGUAUUCACUGACAGCAUUGGAGACAAGAAUACACAAACUCUGGACAAAUUGGAACCGCGGGGAAUGGAGCAAAAAAUUAAUCAAUGGGCAGUGAAAUUCAGAAGAGCUACAACAGCAGAAGCAAUCGAUGAAUUGUUAGCCAUUUUAAGAAGUGAAGGUUACACAUCAAUACCCAAGACUACACGGCAGCUUUUGCAAACUCCCCAUUGCAGACACCUAACAACCAUGAGAGGAGUUCAUGAGAUUCCAGGUGAAUUCAUUUAUUUGGGAAUCGCCUCGGGACUCAGAAAAAUAAUUUCAACUCAAAUUUAUCGAGAAAACGACAUUUCUCUUCUGGUUCAUAUUGACGGUAUGCAGGUAUACCGGAAUGCUAAGAAGGAAAUUUGGCCAAUUUCAAUAAAAAUACAGCAUCCAAAUUACACUACCAAACCCUUUGCUGCCGCGAUUUAUUGUGGGGAUGGGAAACCAUUAUCAGCCACAGAAUUCAUGACUGAUUUUGUUGAAGAGGCCAAUGAACUCCAAGAAAAUGGUUUGCGCAUUGAUGACAAGGUUUUUGAGGUGAAAAUUGUAGCAAUAGUGGCUGAUUCGCCAGCUCGAGCAUUCAUUUGCUGCCACAAAGCUCCUGGAGCCUUCUAUGCCUGUGGAAGGUGUUUCACCAAGGGCAUUACAGUAGGUUGUGGAAGACGAGGAAAACGCAUAUAUCCAGUGACCAAUGCAAAUUUACGCACUAAAGUAUCCUACGAGACGCGAGUUCAACCAGAACAUCAUUAUGAAGGUUCUGUGUCCCCGCUGCUCUCUUUGGAUAGAUUCGAUCUGACAAAACAAGUGCCAUUAGAUUUAAUGCAUUUAUUCUAUUCUGGUAAUAUGAAAUGGCUGCUGGAUAAAUGGCUAACGAGAAGUUCAGCCCAGAGGAUCAAAUUAGCUGAUGUUCGUCGGCUUGAUGGUAUUAUGAGGUCAUUAAAAGCCGAUAUCCCUAUUGAAUUUCAAAGGAAAGAAUUUGAUGUGAAUAAUAUCUCAAGAUGGAAAGCAUCACAAUUCAAGUUUUUCCUUAAUUAUUGUGGUAUCGUCGUGUUACAAGAUUUCUUACCGAAACCUUUACGUUGUCAUUUCUCAUUAUUUGUCUUUGCUAGCAGAAUUUUAAACAGUAAGGAAUUCGUUAAGGAUUUGAGUGAAUAUGCUGGAUCUCUGCUAAAAAUUUGUUUCGAGACGUUACCUGAUGUUUAUAAUGAUGAAGGGGCUCAAGUUCUCAGUUGGCAUAGUAUCAUCCACGUUGCUAAUGAUGCCCAAUACUUUAAAAUUCCUCUGAAUGAGCUCUCAGCGUUUUGGGGAGAGAGUACGAACACUACGUGCGAACAAGAUAAAGUGGAAAAUUUAUGAUUUACACUUGAUAUGAUUGUUUAUACAUAAAAGCAUUGGAAUGUUGAGGGGACGAGAAACGUUCCAUUUUUCCCCACCAUCUCUUAUGUAGGAAAGCAUUAUAAUUCUGUUGUGAAGAGGUAUACAAGCAAAACCAAAGACAAGAUUUCAAAGCAUUUACCAGAGUGGAUCUGACUCUGAAGACGAAAAUCAUGAUUGUCUUAUAGCUAAUCCUGAGG